rnacentral:misc_RNA from 1 species
UCAGCCAGUCCGCAAGCUCGCCUCUGGCAAUCGACAUCGGUCAACUCCACAUCGCGUGCGACACCUUUUGAGAGUCUUCGUGCGCAACGAUCAAUAGCGGUUCCCAUCAACAUCAGACGGUGACCGACUCGCCGUACGCGAAGCCAAA